rnacentral:rRNA from 1 species
UACGGAGGAUGCAAGCGUUAUCCGGAAUGAUUGGGCGUAAAGCGUUUUAAGGUGGUUUGGUAAGUCUACUGUUAAAUAUCAGGGCUUAACCCUGAACAGGCAGUGGAAACUAGCAAGCUUGAGUACGGUAGGGGAUCGCGGAAUUCCCGGUGUAGAGGUGAAAUUCGUAGAUAUCGGGAGGAACACCAGUGGCGAAGGCGGCGAUCUGGGAAGAUACUGACGCUGAGGUGCGAAAGCGUGGGGAGCAAACAGG